GAUAAACGCUGGCGGCGUGCAUUAGACAUGCAAGUCGAACGAACGACCUCGGGCUUGCCCGGGGAAGUUAGUGGCGAACGGCUGAGUAACGCGUAGGUGACCUGCCCUAGAGUGGGGAAUAACUGCCCGAAAGGGUGGCUAAUACCGCAUACGGUCAUGAGUUCAUUCUCAUGUCCAAAGCCUUCGGGCGCUCUUGGAGGGGCCUGCGUUCGAUUAGCUCGUUGGUGAGGUAACGGCUCACCAAGGCGACGAUCGAUAGGUGGUCUGAGAGGAUGAUCACCCAGACUGGGACUGAGACACGGCCCAGACAACUACGGUUGGCAGCAGUCGGGAAUUUGCCCAAUGGGGGAAACCCUGAGGCAGCAACGCCGCGUGAGGGAUGAAGGCCUUCGGGUUGUAAACCUCUUUUCUCAGGGACGAUAAUGACGGUACCUGAGGAAUAAGCCACGGCUAACUACGUG
rnacentral:rRNA from 1 species